rnacentral:lncRNA from 1 species
UGGAGUGCAUGACUCAUCUCCUGGCCCCUCCAGGAAACCGGAGAAGGCAGAAAAGGGCAAGAAUGUUGUGUUGUCUUUGGGCUGUGGAGUUCAUGAUUAUGGACACUUUCUGAAUUAUUGGCACUAAGGGCACAUCCUGCUUAGCAUGGAGGCUGGACAGCUCUGGGAAAGCAGAGAUUCUUUUUAGGGAGUCCAGAGCAUUUUUUUCUUCUUUCUUAUCCCCUCUUUCCAAUAGAGAUGUCAGAAGGGUGACUGUUAGGGUUGAUACAUUAUGUGGUGCUCUGUUUUUUUGAGCAUUGUCUACUCAGAGUGAUUACCAAGGUGGAGCUCAUUAUGUUACCUGGCACCUGCAACUACUUGCCUCAUGUUGGACUAAAGUGGAAAGACUCCUAUUGGGAAUUCACUCAGGGAGGCACCAGGCAUUGUUAGAAAAGCAGUAUCGCAGAGCACUUAAGAGCUGAGCCUUGUGAUCGGGUGGACUUGGGUUUAUGUCCUCGCACUGUCGCUUCCUAGAUUUAUGACCUCAGUUUCCUCAUUUCUAAGGUAGAGACAGGGAUGGAGGGUGGGGAGAAUAUGAAUUAAUUUGGAUUAAAUGGAUGAGAAUCAGAAGUAUUUAUUUGGAAUUGGUGUGAAUUGGAGCACAUGGGGAACUGAAGAUGAACUAAGAAUAAUGAAAACAGCAUGAAGGAUGGAAUCAAAUUAAGUGCAAACAUAUAAAGGAAAUGGACUGGUAAAAGCUCGAGGGCAAAGGUGUAUGGAGAUGGGAAUUCAGGUUGGAAAGAGGCUGCUGAUACAAGGACUGGAGUUGGGAGAGCUGCUGACCAAAUGUGGAAAUGAAGAUUUUUUAAAAAUGGGCGCUGGUUGGAUUCAGGCAAGCUAUUUUAACCCAGGACUCACUUUAAUUCAGUCAAAAUAUUUCUUAUCUUCCAGUUGGGGAGGUGUUUUGGGACAGGAAAAAAAG